rnacentral:lncRNA from 1 species
UUGAGUAUUAGAACUAUGAUAUAAUUUCUGCUAUGAAUCGAAUCUUGAGCUUGUUUGAAGCUGGUAUAAAAGGAUAGCACGAUUAACAAACAUCUGUGUUGAUUAGUCAGUUCAAAUUGAUACCUAUAUGGUCUAUAAAGGAUAAUGCUAGAGUGAAUGACAAAACGACAAGAAUGGAUAGUAAAGGCUAAAGUUAGGCAAGAACCUAAGUUUGGGGGAUGAUAUGUGGGGUAUAUAAGCUUUAUUUUUGUAAAAAAAAAUAUGAAUAAACACCUUGGCGUGCUUGUCUAGUUUUGUGGCCUUUGUUACUUGAGUAAGUAAGCCCGAGGGGAUUGUCUUUACACCUAGCGCCCUAAGGUCUUAAUGGUCUGGGAGUCAUUGGUCGAAAGCUCGUUAAGGUAGCAUUGAAAAGCCUAAGGGAAUAAGACAUUGCAUAGCUAUGUGUAUAAAAAAAAUGGGAAAUAAGAGCAAAAAUCCCCCCGUAUAUAAUAUAUAUAUAUAUAUAUAUGAAUAAAGUAUAAGUACCCCGCUUGAAUCCCCGAGUUAGUGAUUGUUUAGUUUUAGUUGAAAUUGUCUAUUUUUGAAAAAAAAUUUAGUUUGCGAUGUAUGAUUCCUUCUAAGAGAUUGAUUAUGUAUUGAAUUUGAGUCUGUAUCGGUUAGCAUGGAUGUUGAUCACACACACACACUAUACCAGUGAUAAUGGUUUGAGAUUUGUGGAUUAAAAUGGAAUUGUAGAUUAGUUUUUGGUAAUUGAUAUUGUAUAAUUGCUUAUUUUCGCUGAGGCCGUUAAGAUAAUCUUGAUUCUGUGAUAUUGUUGGAUUUGGAAUCAUUUAAGUUAGGUCGUAUUCAUUUCAUCUCAUUGUAUUGCAUAUAGUGUUUUGUGCUCGAGGACUAGCACGGUUUAAGUUUGGGGGAUUUUGAUAAGUGGAUUUUAUAUACGCGAUUCAAUAUCCAUUUCAUGAUUAUUUGUUGCUAAAUUCUUGUGAUCAUGUUCCUUUUUACUUGUUUUAUGUUAUUUCUUGUGUAGGUUGGUUGUUGAGGUAUUUUACGGAUAUGUGGAAUCAAUUGGGAUGAUUUGAGGUUAAUUAGAGCAAAAUUAGAGUACAGCAUGAAAAUCAGCAAAUUCAUUUGGCAGAAGACAUGCCUGCCGGGGCGAGCAUCAUUAGCCUAUACACCCCCGUUGGGGCGGGGGGUCUUAAUCUCCAGUUAGCAGAAGAAUAGCCCGCCGGGGCGGGCCAAAUUACACUAUGUACCCCCGCCGGGGCGGGGGUCUUCAAUUAUGCUAGACAAGAAGGGUGCCAGCCGGGGAGGGCGUUUAUAGAAUAUACACCCCCGCCGGGGCGGGGGGUGUCGAUUCUGAAGUGUCCUGUUAUGUUUGUGAUUCUUUUUGGGCACGAAUCUUAGCUAUUUGUAUGGCAAUGUAACUCUAAUUGAGGAAAAAUUUUGGCUGGGACUUGUGUGUUGGAUAAGAUUUACUCAGUAAACAAAAAUUUGAAAAACAACAGAAGGGAUAUUACGAAUAUCUAAGUUCAGUUUUCAUAGCAAGCGUGGAGGAAUACUUCGGGAGAUUUUUC